UACGAAGGGGGCAAGCGUUGUUCGGAAUUACUGGGCGUAAAGGGCGCGUAGGCGGCUUGCCAAGUCAGGCGUGAAAUUCCCGGGCUCAACCUGGGGGCUGCGCUUGAUACUGGCUGGCUUGAAUGCGGGAGAGGAUGGUGGAAUUCCCAGUGUAGAGGUGAAAUUCGUAGAUAUUGGGAAGAACACCGGUGGCGAAGGCGGCCAUCUGGCCCGUGAUUGACGCUGAGGUGCGAAAGCGUGGGGAGCAAACAGG
rnacentral:rRNA from 1 species